rnacentral:rRNA from 1 species
UACGGGGGGGGCAAGCGUUGUUCGGAAUUACUGGGCGUAAAGGGCUCGUAGGUGGCCAACUAAGUCAGACGUGAAAUCCCUCGGCUUAACCGGGGAACUGCGUCUGAUACUGGAUGGCUUGAGUUCGGGAGAGGGAUGCGGAAUUCCAGGUGUAGCGGUGAAAUGCGUAGAUAUCUGGAGGAACACCUGUGGCGAAGGCGGCCUUCUGGACGAUGACUGACGCUGAGACGCGAAAGCGUGGGGAGCAAACAGG